rfam:Felis catus isolate Cinnamon breed Abyssinian chromosome B2, whole genome shotgun sequence.
GCCUGGGUGGCUCAGUUGGUUGAGCAUCUGACUUCAGCUCAGGUCAUGAUCUUACUGUUGGUGGGUUUGAGCCCCGCAUCGGGCC